rnacentral:rRNA from 1 species
UACGAAGGGUGCAAGCGUUACUCGGAAUUACUGGGCGUAAAGCGUGCGUAGGUGGUGGUUUAAGUCCGUUGUGAAAGCCCUGGGCUCAACCUGGGAAUUGCAGUGGAUACUGGAUCACUAGAGUGUGGUAGAGGAUAGUGGAAUUUCCGGUGUAGCGGUGAAAUGCGUAGAGAUCAGCAGGAACACCCGUGGCGAAGGCGGCCCCCUGGGCCGAACCUGACGCUGAGGCGCGAAGGCUAGGGGAGCGAACGGG